rnacentral:rRNA from 1 species
GACAGAGGUGGCAAGCGUUGUUCGGAAUUAUUGGGCUUAAAGGGCGCGUAGGCGGUGGUGUAAGUCUGAGGUGGAAUCCUGCAGCUUAACUGUGGGACUGCCUUGGAAACUGCAUCACUUGAGUCAAGCAGGGGAAGGCGGAAUUCCUGGUGUAGCGGUGAAAUGCGUAGAUAUCAGGAGGAAGGCCUGUGGUGAAGACGGCCUUCUGGGCUUUGACUGACGCUGAGGCGCGAAAGCGUGGGUAGCAAACAGGAUUAGAAACCCGAGUAGU